CAUGCAGUCGAACGAUGAACCACUUCGGUGGGGAUUAGUGGCGAACGGGUGAGUAACACGUGGGCAAUCUGCCCUUCACUCUGGGACAAGCCCUGGAAACGGGGUCUAAUACCGGAUAACACUGCGGAUCGCAUGGUCUGCGGUUAAAAGCUCCGGCGGUGAAGGAUGAGCCCGCGGCCUAUCAGCUUGUUGGUGAGGUAAUGGCUCACCAAGGCGACGACGGGUAGCCGGCCUGAGAGGGCGACCGGCCACACUGGGACUGAGACACGGCCCAGACUCCUACGGGAGGCAGCAGUGGGGAAUAUUGCACAAUGGGCGAAAGCCUGAUGCAGCGACGCCGCGUGAGGGAUGACGGCCUUCGGGUUGUAAACCUCUUUCAGCAGGGAAGAAGCGAAAGUGACGGUACCUGCAGAAGAAGCGCCGGCUAACUACGUGCCAGCAGCCGCGGUAAUACGUAGGGCGCAAGCGUUGUCCGGAAUUAUUGGGCGUAAAGAGCUCGUAGGCGGCUUGUCACGUCGAUUGUGAAAGCCCGAGGCUUAACCUCGGGUCUGCAGUCGAUACGGGCUAGCUAGAGUGUGGUAGGGGAGAUCGGAAUUCCUGGUGUAGCGGUGAAAUGCGCAGAUAUCAGGAGGAACACCGGUGGCGAAGGCGGAUCUCUGGGCCAUUACUGACGCUGAGGAGCGAAAGCGUGGGGAGCGAACAGGAUUAGAUACCCUGGUAGUCCACGCCGU
rnacentral:rRNA from 1 species